rnacentral:rRNA from 1 species
CCUACGGGAGACAGCAGUAGGGAAUCUUCCACAAUGGGCGAAAGCCUGAUGGAGCAACGCCGCGUGGGUGAAGAAGGUCUUCGGAUCGUAAAACCCUGUUGUUAGAGAAGAAAGUGCGUGAGAGUAACUGUUCACGUUUCGACGGUAUCUAACCAGAAAGCCACGGCUAACUACGUGCCAGCAGCCGCGGUAAUACGUAGGUGGCAAGCGUUAUCCGGAUUUAUUUGGCGUAAAGGGAACGCAGGCGGUCUUUUAAGUCUGAUGUGAAAGCCUUCGGCUUAACCGGAGUAGUGCAUUGGAAACUGGGAGACUUGAGUGCAGAAGAGGAGAGUGGAACUCCAUGUGUAGCAGUGAAAUGCGUAGAUAUAUGGAAGAACACCAGUGGCGAAAGCGGCUCUCUGGUCUGUAACUGACGCUGAGGUUCGAAAGCGUGGGUAGCAAACAGGAUUAGAUACCCGGGUAGUC